CUGCCAAGACAAGAGAUGGGCAGAAGAAGGGAUGAGGUCUCAUGAUCUGCAAGCUUUUAUCUUUUCCCUCCGGCUGUUAAAUGGUAACAGUGGAGCAAAGUAUCGUGGGGACUGUAGUAGUCCUUCUCUUCUGAGAACCAGGUACAUACACUACAUGAUGUUAUGACGGGGAAUACCAAUAACCGAAAAUCAUAAAACCAUGACAGAUGUAAAAUUCUAGAGUACUGAAGUUAUUUUUUCCUCUACUUUAAGUAUGCUGAGAAUGCCAAUGGCCAUUCAGUCCUGAUGAAAGAUGGGUUUAGAUUAUGAUGCAUACGGUCAGCCUUCAAAUAUUUGAUGAUAGUGUAUGAGAAUAAAAUUUCUGCAUUCAUUCUCCAAAUGUCAAAGACAGCUUCUCUUCCCUGUCUUUCUGAUCUUGCCAUUUCUCUCUCUGCAUCUUUUGUUGAUUCCACUCUACUUUUACUGAGUAAAAUAUCAGUGUAAUGCUUUUUAGUUGCUACUUUCAUUCUACCCAUUAAGUCUCAUUCAAUACAGACAGAUUGAAUCUGGUCUUUGAGCAACAGCAGAAAUGCCAGAACCCACAAUUCACUUCUCAGGCUCUGAAAUGUACACCUUUUUGUCUUCUUCCCUAACACAUCUCAUGCUCAGAAGAAGCGUUCUGGAGGCUUUUAAAUUCAACCAUACAAUUCUCCUUUACUCUGACACCUAACAAAAGACAUUACCUUACCACUAUACCAAAACCAUUAUCUAUCACAUCAAAGAAUAUAGUCUCAUGGUUUCCUUACAUUUUGAAACCAUAUAAUGCAUCUUUUCUUAUAUUUACACUUAUCCUUACAGGGACAGUCAUCUUGCUCCCCUUUUGUACUAUGCCUUACAAAAGAGGGUUCUCAUCUAAAGCGGAGUAGUUACGUGCCACAGCAGUAUAAAUGAAUGAUAAAAAAUAUUAUUAUUAUAAAACUCAUUUUAAAAUACCUCAUUAGAAAUCACAAGGUAGGACAGUCACACAAAUUUAUUUAUUUGUUUGCUUGUUUGAAAAUCAUGUUUGAAAUUGGAGUGAGUUUAUGAACUUCAAUGUAAAUGGCCAAUUAACAGAUUGCCUUCCAUUACAUUACUGCAGACCAACAGUCCAGGUACAAAUACAUCACUUUUUCCAGCAUGCAACAUAACUGCCUAAUUCUACUGCAUUAACUUCAUGUUAUGAAUAAUGUCAUGCCCAAAUACUGAUUCAUAAGACUAUAAAACAAGAGAAUGAUGUGGAACACAACUCAAUCUCUUUUAAUCCCACUGAGACAAUGUGAUUCAUACACUAGACAUUUUCUGAAUGUCUGAGAAACUACUCUACAAAAACUCCCCCAUAAAAGAUGGUUUAAAGUAUCAUACAAAUCCUUAACUAUUCAGAAGACUUGACAUGCAGAGGCACAAUAGGGUCCCAAAAAGAAGUGCUCUAAUACAAAGAUUUAAAACAAAAGUUCUAAAAUGAUCAUCUUGGUUGUACACACAACUGCUGAGGCAAUUGACUAAAAUGUGUUAUUUUGAUAAAUUAUAUAAAUCACAUGGGUAGGAUAGCUAUUUUCUAACUGCAAUGUUUUAAUUCUAUAUUUCUGUUUAAACUCUACAUUGCAUGACACAAAGCAAAAUCAACUUGGCUGUUCCUACCUUAUUCUAAUACUCCUACCCAACUCUAACUUUCAUAAAGCCUUCAGUCAUUUGCGGAACUGUCAAAUGUUCAAAGCCAACAUCUAAUCCCAGUAUAGCCUAUGAAGAGCUCAUAGCUUUGUGUAACUAGCUGUCUCAGAAAAGGCAUAGUGGAUGGAAGACUGUUGAACUGUCUGGAUCCUGUACAAAGACAUGAAAGUCAGAGGAGGGAAGGUUCCUUUCACAGUCACCUCUUCAAAUUUGUGUGCACACAGCUUCUGAGAACAGUUUGGCCUUUUCUGCAGACAAAGUUCAUGCUAAAGUUGAGUAAAACUGUACACACAUAACUGAAAGCAAACUAAUAGCAACAUUUAAAAAUAUAUAUGUAUCUGUAAUUUACAUUAUUCUUAAUACACUACGCUUUGACAUUCAUCAUCUGUGUUUGAAGUAACUCAAAAGAGCAAAUAUAGUAAGCUAUCAUCUGUAGAAAGAAUCCUGCAUCUUAGUUCCUGGUGCCAAGUUACAGUAGACUUAAGUUCCAAAGUACUAAAUCUAAAGAUUAAGCUUUACCAUAAUAUUUUGCAAGUAUCUCACCUGUUCAUGUAAAUUCAUGACAGUAUGCACAGUGACAAACAUUCUAUCAGAUUUUAUGAAUUUCAUCUACAUUACAUAAGUCAUUAAAAACUUAUUUCCAGGCCUUUGCUGUGUGAAAUUCCACUGUAAUUAUUUGGAAUUGUUUACAUUUGCCUACUAACAUGGAGAAAGUUCAAGCAAUCCAAUUUUUAAUAAUACUAUUUUCAGUAAUUCACAGGUAUAUAGACUUGAUACUACAAAUAUUUAUCCUUUAUUAUCUUAUCUGCAAACUCCUACUGACAAAUUAUACACAAGCUUAAUAUGUUUGCUCUUCGGAAGACUGGAAGCAGAAGACUGAAAAUACAUUUAUCUGCUUUUUAAUACUGUAAACAUGAGCUAGAACAACAAGCUGCUGGAUCUUCCCCAACGUGUAGGCUUUUAAAAAUGAUUUACAAUUUCAGCGGUUACUUCCUGCUUCCAUCCUGUUAAACUACAGGUACAAUGACAUAGUACUAUGGAACAGCCUUCACAACAGUGCUACAAUUUUACCAACUGAUUCCAGCAAGAUUCCACCUAGUCUCACAUUCAACAUCUGAUUUCCCCACAAAAGAUACAUGCAGGAGAGUGUGAUGCAUCACUGAAUCAAUCUGAAUUUUCCUCAACUCCUCCCUGCAAAUGACCAACUUACGAAGGUGCAGAGGUUCAUAUCUCAUUCAAAUCAUUCUGAGUCAUUUAUACUAUAAUUUGGUCAUUACAAGAAAAAACUUUCCUAAACACCAUCAGAAAAUUAUUUUGUUGAAACAAAUAACUUCAUUGUUUUUGAUUUCUGUUUAAAAAAGUAAUAAAUCCUAAGAUUUUACUUUUCAAGUUAGAUACUACAUGAAAUGAGCCAGAAACUUGAAUGGCAGGCAAAGAAAUGUGCAAGGCACCCUUUUUCACCAUGAUGAACAGCUUAAAUAAUCACAGAGAAACAUCAGGCAGAUAUAAUUGCCAGAAUGACAAAGGCAAUAACUAACAAACGCUGGAAGUAUUUGACUCACUGAAGGGCAGACUGAAAAAACAGAAUAAUGCACAUUAUUUUAAUUAUCUGUGUACAGAAAUAAAACUUUGUAGACUGGUGUCCAAAGACGACGUAGUCACAAUCAACUUCUGAUGAACACAGAAUGACAGAAUUGCAGGGGUUGGAAGGGACCAGAAGAGAUCACAGAGUUCAAACUCCUGCUGAGAGAGGUACCCUACAACAGGCUGCACAGAUGAAAGGAACAGCAAAUACCGUAUACGCUGCAGAAGAAACUGCAAAACCUCACUUUCAAGUUUCUGUGCUUGUCUUCACAAUGAUGUAAAACCUUACUUUGCAGCCUGUGCUCCCUGAUGCGUUGCUUACCAUCUCUAUGGGCUGGAUUACGGUUAUCAUUUUGCUGUACUGUAUAACACUGGUUUAUAAUACGAUAAAAUUGCUCAUCAUGAGACUGGUCUGUUAUUUGUUCUCAGCUUUGCUGUCAUCUCUGUACUUUGGGGACCAUCUCCUAAAAGCUAUUAAUUCUAACACUGUUUACUUUUUCUUCCUGGGGAGCCAAUCUAUGGGAGAGACAAGACAGCAUACUCUUCUCUGCUUCUACACCCUCCCUUUCACCAUCUCCUUCUCCUUCUCAUCCUGGCCACUUACCAUAGGUCUUGGGAAUUAUGAAUAUCUUCAGGAUGUUCAAACCAGUAUGUUCCUAUAAAUACGUCUCCUGAAUGUACUCCAGGUUUUGCUUAAGAUUAAGCAACUGUUUAAUAACACCACUCAGAAAUCCGCCCCAAGGCUGGACAGUUAUGAAUGACAGAGAGUGUGGGAUGAUGUGGACAUGCAUCUAGAACAGUAGGGACUUCCAGUGCUUUGGAACUUCACACCUGAAAACACUGCUAAAAUGUUUUAAAAAGUUAUGCCAUCACAAUGGCAAUUCCAAAGAGAUAAAAGUCACUGUAGUGUGCUUCGGGAUGGCUUAUGCCUAACAAGCAGUGCUCAACACUAUCUCAACCCCUGCAAUAGGCCUUGCGGCUGAAUGAAUGCUGAAUGAACCUCUGCUGGUAUUGGUUAUCUCUGUAUAAAAGAGGAAAUAGUAGGUGUGCAAGUCAGCUCAUUCAGUGAAGGAAGAAAAUUCUAAUAAGAAGGGGAAGAAGGAAGACAAGGACAAGGAAGGCUACUCUGAAGGAGGGUCACACAGGAACAGGAUGAGGAACUCAUCCUCACAGGAAGGGUCAGAGCUCAUCAAGAAGGCAGUAACCCAUCCAACCCAUCCUAACCCUGGGUGAGCUGUGAGACAGCUGAAAGGAUUUCAACCAGUCUCAGCAAGCGCAUUGUCACCUUGUUGCUCUGAAGAUAGGAUAACAGGGCCAGUAGCUUGGAACAAGAAGGUAGUGAAGCCAGACAGCUGGGAUCCCUUUCUAGGAAAGGAGUCAUUGAUAAAGCAGUUGAAAAAAGGACACAGGCCUUUACUCUUUACCUGUCAGAUUUGAAGGAAAGAAAGGAAAGGAAAGGAAAGGAAAGGAAAGGAAAGGAAAGGAAAGGAAAGGAAA